AUUGAACGCUGGCGGCAUGCCUUACACAUGCAAGUCGAACGGCAGCGCGGACUUCGGUCUGGCGGCGAGUGGCGAACGGGUGAGUAAUACAUCGGAACGUACCCUGUUGUGGGGGAUAACUAGUCGACAGAUUAGCUAAUACCGCAUACGACCUGAGGGUGCAAGUGGGGGACCGCAAGGCCUCACGCAGCAGGAGCGGCCGAUGUCUGAUUAGCUAGUUGGUGGGGUAAAGGCCCACCAAGGCGACGAUCAGUAGCUAGUCUGAGAGGACGAUCAGCCACACUGGGACUGAGACACGGCACAGACGACUACGGGAGGCAGCAGUGGGGAAUGUUAGACAAUGGGGGCAAGCCUGAUCCAGCAAUGCCGAGUGAGUGAAGAAGGCCUUCGGGUUGUAAAGCACUUUUGUCCGGAAAGAAAUCGAGCUGGUUAAUACCUGGCGUGGAUGACGGUACCGGAAGAAUAAGCACCGGCUAACUACGUG
rnacentral:rRNA from 1 species